rnacentral:rRNA from 1 species
CCUACGGGAGGCUGCAGUGAGGGAUAUUGGUCAAUGGGGGAAACCCUGAACCAGCAACGCCGCGUGAGGGAAGACGGUUUUCGGAUUGUAAACCUCUGUCCUCUGUGAAGAUAAUGACGGUAGCAGAGGAGGAAGCUCCGGCUAACUACGUGCCAGCAGCCGCGGUAAUACGUAGGGAGCAAGCGUUGUCCGGAUUUACUGGGUGUAAAGGGUGCGUAGGCGGCCCUGCAAGUCAGAAGUGAAAUCCAUGGGCUUAACCCGUGAACUGCUUUUGAAACUGUAGGGCUUGAGUGAAGUAGAGGCAGGCGGAAUGCCCGGUGUAGCGGUGAAAUGCGUAGAGAUCGGGAGGAACACCAGUGGCGAAGGCGGCCUACUGGGCUUUAACUGACGCUGAAGCACGAAAGCGUGGGUAGCAAACAGGAUUAGAUACCCCUGUAGUC